rnacentral:miRNA from 1 species
CAUGGUCAGUAGAGGCGCAUGUG